GAAGCAAGCCAGACCGCCGCUGGGGCAAGCGUGGAAACACGGCCCUGGAGGAAGGUCCGGACUGCAUAGAGCGGCGUAGCAGCUAACGGCUGCCCGGCGAAAGCCGAGGAUCAGAGCAACAGAGACGAGUCGAAGUGAGCCUAGGCCCACUUCGGGUGAAACGGGCAAUCUCUACGCGCAGCAACACCAAGUAGGCCAGCGUUGAUGCGGCUCGCAGAGCUGGCGGGUAGGUGGCACCGAGCCGGGCAGUGAUGUCCGGCCCAGAGGAAUGGCGGUCACGGGGCCGGUCUCGCAAGAGGCCGGACCUGCACAGAAUCCGGCCUAUCGGCUUGCUUCACUC
rnacentral:RNase_P_RNA from 1 species